rnacentral:rRNA from 1 species
AACGAACGCUGGCGGCAGGCCUAACACAUGCAAGUCGAGCGAGGACUUCGGUCCUAGCGGCGGACGGGUGAGUAACGCGUGGGAACGUGCCCUUUGCUUCGGAAUAGCCCUGGGAAACUGGGAGUAAUACCGGAUGAGCCCUUUGGGGGAAAGAUUUAUCGGCGAAGGAUCGGCCCGCGUUGGAUUAGGUAGUUGGUGGGGUAAUGGCCUACCAAGCCGACGAUCCAUAGCUGGUUUGAGAGGAUGAUCAGCCACACUGGGACUGAGACACGGCCCAGACUCCUACGGGAGGCAGCAGUGGGGAAUCUUAGACAAUGGGGGAAACCCUGAUCUAGCCAUGCCGCGUGAGCGAUGAAGGCCUUAGGGUUGUAAAGCUCUUUCAGCGGGGAAGAUAAGGACGGUACCAGCAGAAGAAACCCCGGCUAACUCCGU